UAGUUUUUUUUAUAAACAUUUAUUCCAGUUUGUACUGUCUUCUUAUGCUCACUUUCGAAACUUAAAUAUGUAACAACAUAUAUACUUAUGUGAUAUAAAUAGAUAAUCCGCAAAACUAGAAGAUAAAAUCUGCAAAACUAGUUUAAAGAACCUAAAAGUUAUGCCACAUCUACUCUCUAAAAAAAAAAAAAUAUAAGUGAAGUCACGAGGACAAUCAAAGACUGCUGCCACCUCAAACAUUUAAAACCUAUACCCAUCAACCUGAAACUGGAGAUAUUGGUCAGAGACCAUAACAAUCCAACUAUUCAAAACAUGUGUUUGAGUAUCCAACAGGAGAUUCGUUGAAAGUAAUCUGCAAUAUAUUUGACCCUGAACAAGAGAGAGAGGAUGACAUGAGGGACAAAGGAACAUAUUCUGGGAUCAAUAGAGCUGUCGUUUUUGCAAACGCAGAUAACUUAUAAGAGACCAAUGACAACCUAUCGCAGAUUCUCGAGAGCCUAAUCUGCAUAAAUGCAAAUAUUCUCUUGCAUUAGACAUAAAACUCAUCAACAUAUUGUUGGAAUUUUGGUAUUAUAUAUUAUAACCCAAAUUUAUACUUUUUACAUUAUUUGAGCACAUGCACAUACUAACACUACUAAACAAAAUGUAAUUCAGGAGCCUUAUAUAAAUUAUUUUAUGCUCAAGAAGGAAAAUAUUCCUGUGCGAAGUGUGAAGGUACAUCAACUAUUGCCUUAAAAAAUUCUAUAUUUUAUCAGUCUUUAAUAAAUAUUAUUUUUACAUAGAAUGUUGUGAAGCCAUACUUGAUCAAGGAAGAAGACAAAUCCAAGUUGGUGUUAGAUGUUAUAACUUUGCCAGAACUUCACAUGCUGAUGGGCCUUGUAAAUUAUAUGUGAUCAUUCCUAAACAAAUUGUGGCCCGAGUUUGAGAUUUGGGUUUCAAGCUUAGGAUGUAUAAGAAAAGGUUAUCUAAGUGAAACUUAUGAUGGAAAUACUUCAAAAUGGAUGCUAGAACAAUUCUAUGAGCUGGAAAAUCUGUAACCAGCAGAGCUACUACCUCUAUUAGAACCCUUGAGAAAGUUCCGCGAAGUAGUUCAAGAGACAUUUGGAAACAGUUUGGAUCCCAGUUACAAAGAUUACAUUUAGGCAUUUACGCAAUCUUAUGUGGUUACCCAAGAAUACUUAUACUAAAAAGGAUCUGAUUAUCACUUGGAAAGUACCUGCUAUUACAGCACAGUUAGAAGGCUUUAUCUUCAAAUCAGGCCAUUCUCUGGAAAAGAUAUGCAGAGCAGACUUCUGAAGCAGCUCAUGCUAAAAUAAAGCCUCUUAUCAACAGGUUCAAUGUUUCCUAAAUGAGCAAAAAACAUCUGGCAAGAAGCAAUAGAAUUGCAGAGGUGUUUAGUAGUGCAAAUUUGUAAUCAAAAGACGUUAUCAAUGUUAUAAUAUAUUAUUAAAAGAUUUUUUGUCAUUGAUUUUUAAACUAAAAUGUU